rnacentral:rRNA from 1 species
AGUGAACGCUGGCGGCGUGCUUAACACAUGCAAGUCGAACGAGAACGGAAUAUAGCUUGCUAUAUUUGUCAGCUAAGUGGCGCACGGGUGAGUAAUGUAUAGAUAAUCUGCCCUUAAGAAAGGAAUAACAGUUGGAAACGACUGCUAAUGCCCUAUAUGCCUUUAAUACAUAAGUAUGCAAGGGAAACGCUUUAGUGCUUAAGGAUGGGUCUGUAUGGUAUCAGCUUGUUGGUGAGGUAAUGGCUCACCAAGGCUAUGACGCCUAACUGGUUUGAGAGGAUGAUCAGUCACACUGGAACUGAAACACGGUCCAGACUCCUACGGGAGGCAGCAGUGGGGAAUAUUGCACAAUGGACGAAAGUUUGAUGCAGCAACGCCGCGUGGAGGAUGACACAUUUCGGUGCGUAAACUCCUUUUAUAUAGGAAGAUAAUGACGGUACUAUAUGAAUAAGCACCGGCUAACUCCGUGCCAGCAGCCGCCGUAA